rnacentral:tRNA from 1 species
UUAUUUUGGCAGAUUAGUGUAUUUGAUUUAGAAUCAUUUUAAGUAAUAGUUAUUACAAGUAAUAA